AGCGAACGCUGGCGGCAGGCUUAACACAUGCAAGUCGAGCGGGCAUCCUUGUGGUGUCAGCGGCAGACGGGUGAGUAACGCGUGGGAACGUGCCCUUCGGUUCGGAAUAACUCAGGGAAACUUGAACUAAUACCGGAUACGUGCGAGAGCAGAAAGGUUUAUCUGCCGAAGGAUCGGCCCGCGUCUGAUUAGCUAGUUGGUGAGGUUAUGGCUCACCAAGGCGACGAUCAGUAGCUGGUCUGAGAGGAUGAUCAGCCACACUGGGACUGAGACACGGCCCAGACUCCUACGGGAGGCAGCAGUGGGGAAUAUUGGACAAUGGGGGCAACCCUGAUCCAGCCAUGCCGCGUGAGUGAUGACGGCCUUAGGGUUGUAAAGCUCUUUUCUCCGGGACGAUAAUGACGGUACCGGAGGAAUAAGCCCCGGCUAACUUCGUG
rnacentral:rRNA from 1 species